CUGCUCCCUGUUACCCAGGACAGAGCAGGACGUGUGUUCCUGCACUGUCCCAUGGGGGGUGAGGUAGGGGUCAGAAAAAACCCUUCUUGUUCCACUUCCUUCCAUCAGAGGCCUGGAAAAUGGGAGGAGGUUUGAUCUGGAGAGUGAAAACAGCUUGCUGCUUGGAGGACUGUCCACAAAAGAACAAAGCUCUGAGAACACUUCCCUGCGCUGUGCCCCGCUAGAGAUAACGUAGAGCCAAGAUGCUGGCCUCAGGAAACACAACUAUGGUGGCAAACCAGCUGUAGAAUGCUGAAAAAAAGUUGAGCUGCAUGUCUUGUCCUUUCAGCCUGUUUCUUGUGUUCAUUUUGGUCUAUAAACAAACAUCUCUCAGGUCUCCUAAAUAGAUUUUCUGAUUGAGUUCCCAGAACAGAC
rnacentral:lncRNA from 1 species